rnacentral:rRNA from 1 species
UACGGAGGGUGCAAGCGUUAUCCGGAUUUACUGGGUUUAAAGGGUGUGUAGGCGGGUAUUUAAGUCAGUGGUGAAAUCUCCGGGCUCAACCUGGAAACUGCCAUUGAUACUAUUUAUCUUGAAUUCUGUUGAGGUUGGCGGAAUAUGUCAUGUAGCGGUGAAAUGCAUAGAUAUGACAUAGAACUCCGAUUGCGAAGGCAGCUAACUAAGCAGAUAUUGACGCUGAGGCACGAAAGCGUGGGGAUCAAACAGG